AAUGGAGUUUUAAAACCUGGGAGCUUUUGGCCAUGUUUAUAAUAGAGAGAGGAAAGAAGAGGGAGAGAGAAGGAGAGAAACAGUGAUGUGAGAGGGAAACAUUGAUCAGCUGCCUCCUGCAUGCAGCCCGACCGGAGACUGAACCAGCAACCCGGUUAUGUGCCCCGACCAGGAAUCGAACUGGCAACCCCUCAGUGCAUGGGACCACGCUCCAAACAACUGAGCCACACAGGCCAGGACUAAAUUUUUACAAUUUUGAUAACCUCCUGCUUUGCCUCAUUUAUGUGUUGGACUGCUGUUUCUAAUUAAAAUUCUCCAUUCACUACA